GGCCAGCCUAAUUGUGUCGGGCGGCGGCGAGUCCCCGUGUUUUCGUAUCAGCGGAAACAUAGCGACCGCGGCCGCGGCUGUGCCAGCUGUGCUGCUGGUGCUACUGCGCGACGACGCGAGUCCCGCAACCAUAGCAAACGCCUUACGAUGAAUCGGAUACUCGUGAAGACACAGCAAGGGCUUCACGAGACGCUGUGCGCACACUUCUCGCUGCCGAAAGCCGUCUCGUUCAGGACGCAUUGAAGCGGACACAGCCUGCAGCGAAGAACAACGUGACGGACAUUGCUCUACUCCACUUGGUACUACUCCGAUCAACCACAAGCAAACCAGUUUUCGAACUACAGCCUGAUGACUUAUCAGCUCAGUUUUUGCCGGAUGGUGAACCUUUGUUCAACUGCUCGACAUGGGAAUCAAGCGACAUUGACCAAAACGAUGGAAAUCAACGAGUGUGCCUCGCAGCUGAAAUUGGCCGCUGCCGGUCAACCAACCGUGGACUGAUCGCACAGACGACUGCAGCCUACAAAUAGCACGGAUCUUCACUCGGAGCUUGGGGCAUGGAACCGGUGCAGAUAUGACUGCACCGCUUACGCUUACGCUGUUCUUUCUGCAGGCUGACCACCAAAACAGUGUGAAUCUGGGUCCUUAGGAGCUUGAAUGCCACCAGGUACCAAUGCUCUGCUCGUUGUGGACAAGUACUGCGACGAAGACAGCACCUGCCUUUGUGCAAUACUUCUGAAUGCUUCUUCAUUGUGACUAAUGCAAAACUGUUGUGCAAUUUAACCUUUGUUUACUUCACUCAAAUAAUAAAUUAACAAAUAACAAUUACAAGAGCAAGCCUGGAAGUAUUGAGACUUCAUAUUACUACUUUGACUAAAAAAUAAUGAAAAUAUAGUUUUUUAAUGCAGGAAGUUCUUGCUUUUGUUUAUUCCAAAACAAGCCAACUGCAUCUCUUAAAGGAGUGUUGACACCUAAAAUCGGACUGUAACUUGACAUGAAAAGGACUCCAGCAUAAGUUUUCAGUGCUUGCAAGGAAUGCCAUAAGGAAUCUUAACCAUUUGACACACUAUGUACACAAUUAUGUACACCACUUGAUUUUGCUAUUUGUAUCAACUAGGGGCUAAGAAACAUCAAGAU
rnacentral:lncRNA from 1 species